UGGGGAAUCUUCCGCAAUGGACGAAAGUCUGACGGAGCAACGCCGCGUGUAUGAUGAAGGUCUUCGGAUUGUAAAGUACUGUCAUUGGGGAAGAACGGUUUUCUUGAGAAUAUUGAGAAGACAUGACGGUACCCAAGGAGGAAGCCCCGGCUAACUACGUGCCAGCAGCCGCGGUAAUACGUAGGGGGCAAGCGUUGUCCGGAAUUAUUGGGCGUAAAGGGCGCGUAGGCGGGCCUUUAAGUCCGGUGUGAAAGAUCAGGGCUCAACCCUGAGAGUGCAUCGGAAACUGGAGGCCUUGAGGACAGGAGAGGAAAGUGGAAUUCCACGUGUAGCGGUGAAAUGCGUAGAUAUGUGGAGGAACACCAGUGGCGAAGGCGACUUUCUGGACUGUAACUGACGCUGAGGCGCGAAAGCGUGGGGAGCAAACAGGAUUAGAUACCCUGGUAGUCCACGCCGUAAACGAUGAGUGCUAGGUGUAGAGGGUAUCGACCCCUUCUGUGCCGCAGUUAACACAAUAAGCACUCCGCCUGGGGAGUACGGCCGCAAGGUUGAAACUCAAAUGAAUUGAC
rnacentral:rRNA from 1 species